rnacentral:rRNA from 1 species
GAUGAACGCUAGCGGGAGGCCUAACACAUGCAAGCCGAGCGGUAUUGUUUCUUCGGAAAUGAGAGAGCGGCGUACGGGUGCGUAACACGUGUGCAACCUGCCUUUAUCUGGGGGAUAGCCUUUCGAAAGGAAGAUUAAUACUCCAUAAUAUAUUGAACGGCAUCGUUUAAUAUUGAAAGCUCCGGCGGAUAGAGAUGGGCACGCGCAAGAUUAGCUAGUUGGUGAGGUAACGGCUCACCAAGGCGAUGAUCUUUAGGGGGCCUGAGAGGGUGAUCCCCCACACUGGUACUGAGACACGGACCAGACUCCUACGGGAGGCAGCAGUGAGGAAUAUUGAUCAAGGGGUGCAAGCCUGAACCAGCCAUCCCGCGUGAAGGACGACUGCCCUAUGGGUUGUAAACUUCUUUUGUAUAGGGAUAAACCUACCCUCGAGAGGGUAGCUGAAGGUACUAUACGAAUAAGCACCGGCUAACUCCGUG